rnacentral:tRNA from 1 species
CGGCCUUGCGGCGCUCGCGCUCGCGGCAUUCGCGGUGCCGCCGAUCGAGCAUGCACCGCGAGGGCGGUUCGACUUCGCCGGAUCCGUC